UGGGGAAUAUUGCACAAUGGGGGAAACCCUGAUGCAGCGACGCAGCGUGCGGGAUGACGGCCUUCGGGUUGUAAACCGCUUUCAGCAGGGAAGAAGCCUCACGGUGACGGUACCUGCAGAAGAAGUACCGGCUAACUACGUGCCAGCAGCCGCGGUAAUACGUAGGGUACGAGCGUUGUCCGGAAUUAUUGGGCGUAAAGAGCUCGUAGGUGGUUGGUCACGUCUGCUGUGGAAACGCAACGCUUAACGUUGCGCGUGCAGUGGGUACGGGCUGACUAGAGUGCAGUAGGGGAGUCUGGAAUUCCUGGUGUAGCAGUGAAAUGCGCAGAUAUCAGGAGGAACACCGGUGGCGAAGGCGGGACUCUGGGCUGUAACUGACACUGAGGAGCGAAAGCAUGGGGAGCGAACA
rnacentral:rRNA from 1 species